GGGCGGGCACUCAGUCCACAUGUAGGGGGCCGGCACUCCGCCCACAUGGAGGGGGCGGAUACUCAUGCUGCGUUCGAGUAUUCUCUGCGAACCGACUCGGAUCUCGGAUCUGACGCCACGCCCGUCCACAUCGAGGGGGCGGCCACUCAGUUCACAUUGAGGACUGGUCAAACAGCAUGUGCAGCAUCUGAUCCCGUUUCUGACCUGAAAUUAGCUGAAAUGUACCUGAAAUUACCUGAAAUUAGAGUGUGCCCGCCCGAGCUAGUGAUGCCUAAAACAUGCAAAGACACGUCAGUGUAAUUGUGAAUGGCGAGAGCCCUGAAAUACAGCUGGACAGCAGCGGUCUACAUCACUGCCCCUUCUGCAGAUACAAAGGGUAAAAAUGUGAUAUCGACCAUCACAUUAAAUGCCAUGCCUCGGUUAAAUACAGAGGUCUGCAGAGGAGCUUUCAGGAAGCAGGAAGAGAAGACGGGAGGAAAAAAAAGCUACAGGAUAAAGAUCUCUGCACAAAAAGGGCUAGAGUUGCUCCAACAGCAUCCAGCUCUGAAGGAUCAGGUCAUGUAUAGACUGUUAAUCCAGACAAAACUGAAGACCAGGAACUGGAACCUGGGAACCUGGUAUAUAAUAUGUGUGUAAUGUUGGAGGUUGUUUGUAUAGCCAGAUGAAAUAGUCUGAUGACUAGUUGAAUAGUGUUUUUUAUCACUGAAAACUCAUCAGUAGUAGUAGCCUUUGUUUGCAUACCAUUUUGUGGUUUUGGGAGGGUAGGGUGUCAAGUACAGACACAAAUAAUUUUUCUUUCUUCUUCAA